rnacentral:rRNA from 1 species
GUGAACGCUGGCGGUAGGCCUAACACAUGCAAGUCGAACGGCAGCACAGAGGAGCUUGCUCCUUGGGUGGCGAGUGGCGGACGGGUGAGGAAUACAUCGGAAUCUACUCUUUCGUGGGGGAUAACGUAGGGAAACUUACGCUAAUACCGCAUACGACCUUCGGGUGAAAGCAGGGGAUCGCAAGACCCUGCGCGAUUGAAUGAGCCGAUGUCGGAUUAGCUAGUUGGCGGGGUAAAGGCCCACCAAGGCGACGAUCCGUAGCUGGUCUGAGAGGAUGAUCAGCCACACUGGAACUGAGACACGGUCCAGACUCCUACGGGAGGCAGCAGUGGGGAAUAUUGGACAAUGGGCGCAAGCCUGAUCCAGCCAUACCGCGUGGGUGAAGAAGGCCUUCGGGUUGUAAAGCCCUUUUGUUGGGAAAGAAAAGCACACGGUUAAUACCCGAGUGUUCUGACGGUACCCAAAGAAUAAGCACCGGCUAACUUCGUGCCAGCAGCCGCCGUAA